rnacentral:rRNA from 1 species
ACUCCUACGGGAGGCAGCAGUGGGGAAUUUUGGACAAUGGGGGGAACCCUGAUCCAGCCAUGCCGCGUGCAGGAUGAAGGCCUUCGGGUUGUAAACUGCUUUUGUACGGAACGAAAAGGUCUUUUCUAAUAAAGAAGGCUGAUGACGGUACCGUAAGAAUAAGCACCGGCUAACUACGUGCCAGCAGCCGCGGUAAUACGUAGGGUGCGAGCGUUAAUCGGAAUUACUGGGCGUAAAGCGUGCGCAGGCGGUUAUGCAAGACAGAUGUGAAAUCCCCGGGCUCAACCUGGGAACUGCAUUAGUGACUGCAUAGCUAGAGUGCGGCAGAGGGGGAUGGAAUUCCGCGUGUAGCAGUGAAAUGCGUAGAUAUGCGGAGGAACACCGAUGGCGAAGGCAAUCCCCUGGGCCUGCACUGACGCUCAUGCACGAAAGCGUGGGGAGCAAACAGGAUUAGAUACCCUGGUAGUCCACGCCCUAAACGAUGUCAACUGGUUGUUGGGGAUUUACUUCCUCAGUAACGAAGCUAACGCGUGAAGUUGACCGCCUGGGGAGUACGGCCGCAAGGUUAAAACUCAAAGGAAUUGACGGGGACCCGCACAAGCGGUGGAUGAUGUGGUUUAAUUCGAUGCAACGCGAAAAACCUUACCCACCUUUGACAUGUACGGAAGAUCGCAGAGACGCGAUUGUGCUCGAAGAGAGCCGUAACACAGUGCUGCAU